UAAGACGAACCGUGCGAACGUUGUUCGGAAUCACUGGGCUUAAAGGGCGCGUAGGCGGGCCGGUAAGUCCGGGGUGAAAUCCUGCAGCUCAACUGCAGAAGUGCCUCGGAUACUGCCGGCCUCGAGGGAGGUAGGGGCAUGUGGAACUUCCGGUGGAGCGGUGAAAUGCGUAGAUAUCGGAAGGAACGCCGGUGGCGAAAGCGACGUGCUGGACCUCUACUGACGCUGAGGCGCGAAAGCCAGGGGAGCAAACGGGAUUAGAUACCCCGGUAGUCCUGGCCCUAAACGAUGGGUACCAGGUAGUGGACUUGACAUGGGUUCACUGCCGGAGCAAAAGUGUUCAGUACCCCGCCUGGGGAGUAUGGUCGCAAGGCUG
rnacentral:rRNA from 1 species